CCUGGAGCUGUUUCCUGCAGCUCUCCCUGCCUUGCCCUCUCAACCCCCCUGGGAUCCAACUUGCCUGGGCCCUUCUUAUCCCCACUGCCUCCUAAAGGGAACAAAAGCCUCAGGGGAGGGAUGCUACGCCCUUCUCCAGCCUCCACAGGGCCACCCAAGCGACCAGAAAACCCACAUCUCUGGAUGCCACAUGCCUAGCUCUUCCCACCUAUACCUUUUGAGCAUCUUCAAAGGACUGAGAGCAUGGACAGAGAACAAAGGAUAACAACGAUCUCUUGAUCAGCAUUGCCUCCUCUGAUUCAAUUACAUGGCCUUUUUUUUGCUCUUGCACUGGAAAGCACUCAGAGCUUGAAUUGCAGGAAGUCACCAACUACAGCAAGACUGUGGGGAAAUUACAGUGAGGGAAGUGUGCUUAGGGAACUACAACUGAGGAGUACUUUCAUUGUCCAUCACCUCAGCACUCCUGGCCCCCAAAAAUAAAGAAAUAAUCAUAA